AUCACUCUCCAUGGGCGCCAUGUCCCCCUUCUUGAGAUCCUUCCCCUGUCAGUGGAAUUAGCUAUGCAUCGGCGUCAUCUGGCCGCCAGCGCGUCCCUGACUCUACUAGCUUCGGGCGGCAGAAGGAGCGGCGGGGUCCGAGGCGAGCAGCACGGCGGCACGCCACGUCUGACCUUGGCUAGGAUGGAGAGCAGGUGUCCGCGGCUGACCCUUCUUCUCCCUCCCCCAUUCUUUUCUGCCUUCAAUCUCUGUUUCUUUAGCUGAGUCAGUUUUCAUGUACUCCAGUUCUGCGUAGCUGAAGGUGAAUUGCCUCUUUCUUGAUUUCCUGUUCAUGUGCUUGGGUUCUGCAUAAUUGGAUGUUGUGUUUUUCCUAGCUCACAAAACUGAUUGAGCUUUCUACCUUCUGAACUUUAGUAUAUUGGCAUAUUGGCCACGCUUCAGUUUAACUUAUAUUUUUGGUCUCACUAAAUUAGCAUGUUGACUGAUCCAGCCAUGCAGCAGAGGAGCUGAUGUAUGCGGUGGCAUUGGCCGGCCAAUAUAUGGUAUCAGAGAUAUCACAUUUGUUUACUUCUCUCUCGCAAAUGUUGCUGGCUAUAUCAUAGUUGUACCACAAGUUCACUUUGCUGCCUCCAACUGGAUGCCUUUGUGUUGUGCUCUCUGUGCAUUCCUAACAGAGUAUAAAUGAUUUUAGGAUUUAGGGUUGUAUAGUUCAUAUAUUCUUUAUGCAAAAAAAUUCUAUUGAUUUUUCUUUGCGAUACCACUCUUUAGAUUGCCUUGAAGAAAUAUUAUAUUCUAUUUUCUCUGAUUUCAUUGCUGCUAAUAAAACGGCUUUUGGAUAAUGUAGUGUAGACCAUCACCUAUGCAUUCCGGCGACAGUGCUCCACCUUGAUGCCUUUGUGCUGUGCUCUCCGUGCAUUCCUAACAUAGUAUAAAUGGUUUUAGGGUUUAAGGUUGUAUAGUUCAUAUAUUCUUUAUGCGAAAAAAUUCUACUGAUUUUUCUUUGGGAUACCACUCUUUAGAUCGCCUUGAAGAAAUAUUAUAUUCUAUUUUCUCUGAUUUCAUUGCUGCUAAUAAAAAGGCUUUUGGAUAAGGUAGUGUAGACCAUCACCUAUGCAUUUUAUGGUGACAGUGCUGAGUAUAUAUGACAGCUUCUGAUGUUUGUGACUGUCUGUGCAUGACCUCGGUCUGCCAGUCACUAUGGCGACCAAUUGAGUAAUUGACCACAGGUUGAUAGACUGGUUCUACCAUUCAGCUUAGUAGUCAACUUAUUCCUUUUGCUUGAAUCUUCUUUGAUAAUGAAUGACAAAAAGAUUCUGGAUUGUUUCUGUAAUUGCCUUUCAAGAAAAUGAACCCUCCACGUGCAAAUAUGUAAUUAUCCCUUGAAAGAUGCUAAAUUAAAUUAAGAUGCACAACCUAAGUAAAUGCCAUGUUUAAAUGCUAAAUUAAAUUAAUUCUUUGUUUGACUGACAUAUACAAAUCUUGAGUUCUCAACUGUUCAAUAAAAAAUAGCAUUGUUUUGUUUUGAAUUUGUUAAUCCUGGUGGCACACUGAUAGCCUGAAAUUUUAUCCUCUUGGCAAGAACGUGAGCAACCAUCCUUACCUGCCGAAUUAUUGCGGAGCUAUGCUGCCAAGGUAACCAUUCACACAUAACCUUUCACACAUGUUGCUUUUUAGAGAGCUUGAUUAUUACAAGGUGGGAAUUCAUUGAUUCUGAUCCAUAAUAUGCAGCGCCCUAUUGUACUACUUGUCUUGCUUGUUCUCUUCGCAUUUAUAUUCUACUAAGAAGCCACACUGCUGAUCCAUGAAUUAUAUAUGAUACAUGUGCAGAAUUCUAUGGUUCUGAGAAUUGCUAUUUUGGUUGUACAGGAUUAUGUUCGGUAGCCGCCCUCAUGUGUUAUGUUCUUUUCACCCCUUAGAUGAUUAUUUUGCUCAUACUGAGUUAUGUGGUUUUUCCGUGUUGGGUUGGUUGGUAUGUCCUUGCUUAUUUUUGAUGUAACACAUGCGUGCUUAUAAUGAGAAACAAGGCUUACAUGAGCAUGGAGGAUUACUGGUCAGUAUAAUUGGACUACCUGGGCAUCAAGGCGUCAAGUAUAGAUUGCAGAGAAGGACGAAGAGUACAUCCUUGAGCAGUAGUUCAGUGAUGCCUGGUAUGUCUGUUUAUGUUGGGAUAAUACAGCUUUGUGUUAAGGAAUUUGGACGGUGUUGGUGGAUUUGAAAUGGUGGAAGGAGAAAUGAAGCUGAGGCCGUGUGCCCAUAUCAAAAUGUACAAGCCGAAUAUCGAGUGACAUUUUAUUCACUAUUCAUUCGGAGAAGAUAUGCCAUUGGUUGGGGUGACACAACGGCAUGUGUUGCAGCUCGAUGAGUCGGCCCAGCCAGGUCAUGCUCCCUGAGUAAUACUGCUUUUAUGCUUCUCUUUUGAAUUUCAUAAAUUUUAUAGAUGUAUGCUUGUACCUGAAAGUUAGGAUUUUGAUACAAAACUAAACCUUUGUUAGGAAACCCCUUGGAUAAAUAGGUAAUCUUGAUGGAGGAACUAUUCCUACCCAGGCUAUUAUCUUUUUGUUUUGUGCAAACAGAGAUCCAACGCUAGAAAUAUUCUUGAUAUGGUCAAGGUUCUGUUGUUCUCUGUAGAUGAGGAAAAUCUUUUGAAUCAACAUAAUUGAUAUAUAUUCCCAUUUUAAUAGCAUAAUGCUUAGUCAUAUUGGUUGCCUAUACUUGCUAUGUAUUAACCGGUUAGUUAAAUAAUUCUGAUGACAUCUCUGAUCUAUGGGAAUAAAACAGAAUUGUAGGAGUUGGCUCUCACAUGAGACCAAUAAAAUGAGUAUUUUGUUUAGUUUUCUUUUUUGCCUUGUUUGCUUACUGGAACAAGCAUCAUAUUAUUGAUUUAUGCCUUAUUUGCUUCAGGCCUUCUGUUAUUUCAUACGUUCCAGUGAACCUGAAGAAUUGAUAUUAUAUAUCCCUCUUCUGUUAUUUUCAGCAAACAAUCAAAGUUUGAUCAUAGUGUAGGUCAUAUGCUAAAUAGUUUGUUGGUUGCAUCUAAACUCAUGAGACAUCUGUUGGCGAUUCAAAAUUUAAAGUGAGUUUCAAACGAUUAUGUCCAAUAAAGUGUAUACCAAAAUGAAAUUCUUUAUGUUUGGCUGAGCUAAUGUACUUAAAUUCAGCAAAUAGAGUUAUUCUGGUCUGACUUUACCCACACAAUAUGUUAUAUGGUGAUAUGUGAUUACUUUGUUUUCUAUACAUCACUUUUGCUGGUGGAAGCUAGCAGAUUUUUGGCAUGUAUAAACUUAUUGGAAAACCCUUCUAGGUAUGCAUAGACUGAGUGUGCUUGGAUCCAGGCCACCUCUCUUGGAUUCCUAUCAAGAGCUCGGCUUACGGCACAGCUGUUGACCAAGCGAGAGUUUUUGUGAUGAGCCAGGUGCGCUCCUGGAAGAAAAAGAGGAUGGCACAAGGGAACCGUCGCCGCGUGGACGUCGCAGUGCCUCCCACACGGUCUUAUUGUGGUAGCAUAUCAUCGCUGCUCCAGGCGACCCCGUGGUGCUAUCCACAUGCAUUGUCGGAACAUCCAUUCCAUGAUUCUGCCUACACCCACCUGCCUGUAGCCUGGGAGUGUGUCGUCUGAACUGGAGCCUGAAGCACGCUGCACGGUAGCAACCAACAUUGCUAUCCAUGUUGAAUAUUGCUGCUGCAGCAGCCAUGAAUGCUGGGGAUAGAGGUCGGUGAAGACCUUGCUUGCCUGUCGAAUAAACCAAGUAAUGAGAAAAUCAAAUAAGCUAUCCAGGGACUGGUUGUGCUCAAAUUCCAUAUUGUUUUCAGGUUGUUCUUCACUGCUUUGUGUUCUUCAACUUUCUGUUCAGCCUGAUACAAAAAAAUGCAUUGUAUUGCUGUGUAUGAAACACUUCUUUUCAAUUUCAAAAGCAGCUGUGUUGGGUAUUUGAGAAUAGUGGCAGCACGACAUGAGGGUAUGACACUCUGGCAAUUGGUUAUACUCCCUUCUCUAUUUUGUAUUGUUGGAUAUAUUGACGUAAGUAUGAUACGUUAAUAAUGACUUAGAUCUAUUGGUAAGUUCUUGGUUGGCCUUUCCUUUCUCACUCCAUCUGUGUGUUUAUUUGAUAACUACUACAACAUGCAGGUAUAAUGUGUGGGCAACUUUUUCCUUGGUUCGUCAGGCUGCAUUGCAAUAGUUGGGGAGGUGUUGGAGAGGAACGGGAAUUGUACAACUGCAGUCUCCUGUAAUCAUCCUCCCUAAACUUUGGUGUGUCAUAUUUGCAUUUGUUGUACUGAACUGAAGUUUUAAUAUUGUAGUCCUCGGGUUUUAAUUAAUUCGGAAACCUAAAUUUUAUACAUAAUGGUGUUUGUUCUAUGCUUUUUAGUGAUGAUCCUGAUGUAUAUUUACUGGAGAAUAAUAAUAUUACUUCACAAAAGCUUCUUAUCAAAUAAGACAUCGGAGUAACAGUAGGUAUAUUUCCUUGAUCUACCGAUAUUCCUUGUUUGUUGAAACAUGUGGUUUGUAAAUAUACAAUGCAUUCUUCGCAUCAGAUGAUUCAGGGGUUGACAUAACGUGUCUCUCCUAUGCAAAUCAUUUUUAUUACCCUUGUACAUAUGUUUCCGUUAAAUUUUCUUUGUUUAAGAAGCACUAGCUGUAGCAUGUCCACCAUUUAUCUAUUUUCCUAUUUUUCUGUUCAUUACAUUCGCUUAUGCUCCAAGAUGCAUCUCAAAAUACUGUUGUUUGUGUUGUGUCCUCAAUCCGAGCAUAUUUUGAAGUGGUUGCUUUGAAAUUUUACUUUCCUAAAAGAACGGAUGUCCACCAAAUUUAUCCUUUAUGAUAUAUCAUAACCUGCGGUGAAGUUCCCUAAACACUUUCUAUAUGGCCUAGGGUGAGAUAAUUGUCAUCAUGCAUCUAGAAUGAAAAUGGGAUGCUCAUAUAUUUCCAUCCUUUCAGGGCACUCCAUUUUCUAUUUGUAUUAUAUAUAUGCGCCCCAUGCUAAUAAAAGGCGUGCCAGAGGUGCAGGUGACCACAGCUGCGCUUACUUUCGCUCAUGUCGUGAAGAGACUGGCGGCCUGCUGCCGAGGGAGGCGACACUGACUGCGCUGAGCUGAUGUCAUCUGAAGAAUCAUACGGCGGCUUGCCAUGCACAGCACUGUGCUCGGUUUACCUUGGGCUCAUCAUCAAGGACGAUGGCAGCAAUCAGGCCUGAUCUGGAGGCGGUGUGGUCAGCGAGUCCUCUGUCGGAGGAGGCGAGGACCAGCAUGAGGUUUCAUAACUUAAAAUCAUUCAGUAAUUAAUCUUCAAGAAAUGUAUUAAGAGCAUCGUGUAGAAGUUCAUGAUUGUUUGACUCAUUUAUGGCAAAUGAAGCAAAUGAGUUUUUCAUGUAUUCUUGUUUGUAGCAAAGUAUAAGGGCAAUAAUUUUUCAGAUAGCGUAUUAACAUUUGUUAAACAGUGGAGAUGUUGCUUGUUCCUUCACCA